AAUAUGCCCUUCUCUACGGAAUAGUCCUGGGAAACUGGGGGUAAUACCGUAUACGCCCUUUGGGGGAAAGAUUUAUCGGGGAAGGAUUAGCCCGCGUUGGAUUAGGUAGUUGGUGGGGUAAUGGCCUACCAAGCCGACGAUCCAUAGCUGGUUUGAGAGGAUGAUCAGCCACACUGGGACUGAGACACGGCCCAGACUCCUCCUGGAGGCAGCAGUGAGGAAUUUUCCGUA
rnacentral:rRNA from 1 species